AAGGUGGGUACCCACUCGGACGACAAACCACUCGGACGACAUUGUAAACAAAGGUAUUAUACGUCAUCACUAGGCACUCGGUCGACUUAGAACGUCAUCAUUUUAUAUAUAGCAUAUACACUAGAUCCGUGACGUUUUGAAGAUUGAUACUAGCGCUGCCUAUAACAUUCUUACCAGCUUUGUCUCUCUACAUUUUUCUACUUCUUUCUAUAUUAAACUAAAUUAUUAUCUUCAAAAAACAAAGCAAUGGGUUUCUUCCUUGUUGAUCUUGAAUUGCUGCUUGCUGGAACCGUUAAACCCAAAGCUUCGAUGUGAUAUUUUAUUAAAAUUUCAAGUUGAAAAUUAGCUUUCAUAGUUUAGUAGCCUAAUAUACUAAAAAACAUUUUGGCUUUUUAUGUGGUUAACAUAACAACAUAGUGCAAUAAGGUCCACCUUGUAUGAUGUGACUAUCUUAUUCAAUAUUUCUGAUUUUGAGAAAAGCAUUUGCCAAUCAUAUCAAACGUCCACCUUGUAUGAUGUGACUAUCUUCUUAUUCAAUAUUUGUGGUUUUGAGGAAAGCAUUUGCCCAUCAUAUCAAUUAUCAGGCUACUGAGGACAGUGGAUAAAAUUGAUAUAUGGUGUUUUGUUACCAUGAUAUGGAGGGUAAUGGUGGAUGAGUGUGGGAUGACACUAACAGGAAAAUAAGAAUCGCGUUUGAGAGAACUGAAAUGCAUUCUAAGCUAGUAUUUCAUCUUAGCCAAGUAUUCAAAUUUAUGAAACUACUGUCUGUAAGACAGGUAUUACGAUGUAAGCAAAUACAGUUGUAGCAAAUAAUAUUAUAUCUUUGAUAAAUAAAAUUAAUUUGAAUUUA
rnacentral:lncRNA from 1 species